GUCACUUAUAGAUGGAUCCGCGCUGCAUUAGCUAGUUGGUAAGGUAACGGCUUACCAAGGCAACGAUGCAUAGUCGACCUGAGAGGGUGAUCGGCCACACUGGAACUGAGACACGGUCCAGACUCCUACGGGAGGCAGCAGUAGGGAAUCUUCCGCAAUGGGCGAAAGCCUGACGGAGCAACGCCGCGUGAGUGAUGAAGGUCUUCGGAUCGUAAAACUCUGUUAUUAGGGAAGAACAUAUGUGUAAGUAACUGUGCACAUCUUGACGGUACCUAAUCAGAAAGCCACGGCUAACUACGUGCCAGCAGCCGCGGUAAUACGUAGGUGGCAAGCGUUAUCCGGAAUUAUUGGGCGUAAAGCGCGCGUAGGCGGUUUUUUAAGUCUGAUGUGAAAGCCCACGGCUCAACCGUGGAGGGUCAUUGGAAACUGGAAAACUUGAGUGCAGAAGAGGAAAGUGGAAUUCCAUGUGUAGCGGUGAAAUGCGCAGAGAUAUGGAGGAACACCAGUGGCGAAGGCGACUUUCUGGUCUGUAACUGACGCUGAUGUGCGAAAGCGUGGGGAUCAAACAGGAUUAGAUACCCUGGUAGUCCACGCCGUAAACGAUGGGUGCUAAGUGUUAGGGGGUUUCCGCCCCUUAGUGCUGCAGCUAACGCAUUAAGCACUCCGCCUGGGGAGUACGACCGCAAGGUUGAAACUCAAAGGAAUUGACGGGGACCCGCACAAGCGGUGGAGCAUGUGGUUUAAUUCGAAGCAACGCGAAGAACCUUACCAAAUCUUGACAUCCUUUGACAACUCUAGAGAUAGAGCCUUCCCCUUCGGGGGACAAAGUGACAGGUGGUGCAUGGUUGUCGUCAGCUCGUGUCGUGAGAUGUUGGGUUAAGUCCCGCAACGAGCGCAACCCUUAAGCUUAGUUGCCAUCAUUAAGUUGGGCACUCUAAGUUGACUGCCGGUGACAAACCGGAGGAAGGUGGGGAUGACGUCAAAUCAUCAUGCCCCUUAUGAUUUGGGCUACACACGUGCUACAAUGGACAAUACAAAGGGUAGCGAAACCGCGAGGUCAAGCAAAUCCCAUAAAGUUGUUCUCAGUUCGGAUUGUAGUCUGCAACUCGACUACAUGAAGCUGGAAUCGCUAGUAAUCGUAGAUCAGCAUGCUACGGUGAAUACGUUCCCGGGUCUUGUACACACCGCCCGUCACACCACGAGAGUUUGUAACACCCGAAGCCGGUGGAGUAACCUUUUAGGAGCUAGCCGUCGAAGGUGGGACAAAUGAUUGGGGUGAAGUCGUAACAAGGUAGCCGUAUCGGAAGGUGC
rnacentral:rRNA from 1 species